ensembl:lncRNA
UGGCAACACUGCUCUCGGAUCAGUCCGCAUGUUCGCGGUGCAUUUUUUAUGGAAUAUGUUGAGCAAACCUGGAGAAGCGUCAGCUCAAGAUAUUAUUGUUGUCAUUGCUGUGGAUCUUUACCUGAUACACUGACUUGGCCCAUCGGGACCAGCACUCCUGCUGUUGGACAGAAAGACAUCAACUUGAGAUAUGACUGCACUAUGCUGUUGCUGGUGACUCCAGUUAAUUCUACAAGACAUGCUGUGACACCAGGAGAGAUGAGUCCUCCAUCACAGAUGGUGUGGUCAGUGAAGAUGGUCGCCUGCAGGUUCAAGCUCAUUGCAUCUCCAACCCACAUCCACUGCCACUGUACUUAAGGGAAGUUAAAGACUUUCUUCUGCACCUACAUUUGGAUCACCUCGAUCCAUGACAGUCAUUCA